UCAUGGACUCUUUAACAAACAUCUUUGUAUAACAGGUGUCACAGACAGUCCCCUGUACCCUGGAUGCAUGGAGACAGAAGAAACAGCCUCUCACGUGGGCAAAACAUCUCGGAUCUCUCCGAGAGACCUCCCCGAGGUCCUACUCAACAUCAAAGGUUUGAUAGGAUUCCUCGAGGAGCUGGGCUGGCAGGACUAGCCCACCCCC